AGUGAACGCUGGCGGCGUGCCUAAUACAUGCAAGUCGAACGGAGAUUAAGUAGCUUGCUAUUUAAUCUUAGUGGCGCACGGGUGAGUAAUAUAUAGCUAACUUGCCCAUUACUAAGGGACAACAGUUGGAAACGACUGCUAAUACCUUAUACUCCGUAUCUAUAUAAGUAGAUACGGGAAAGUUUUUCGGUAAUGGAUAGGGCUAUAUCGUAUCAGCUAGUUGGUAAGGUAAUGGCUUACCAAGGCUAUGACGCGUAACUGGUCUGAGAGGAUGAUCAGUCACACUGGAACUGAGACACGGUCCAGACUCCUACGGGAGGCAGCAGUAGGGAAGAUUGCUCAAUGGGGGAAACCCUGAAGCAGCAACGCCGCGUGGAGGAUGACACUUUUCGGAGCGUAAACUCCUUUUCUUGGGAAAGAAUUAUGACGGUACCCAAGGAAUAAGCACCGGCUAACUCCGUG
rnacentral:rRNA from 1 species